AAAGGAAUAGACGGGGGAGCACAACAACGGGUGGAGCCUGCGGUUUAAUUGGACUCAACGCCGGACAACUCACCGGGGACGACAGCAAUAUGUAGGCCAGGCUGAAGACCUUGCCUGAAUCGCUGAGAGGAGGUGCAUGGCCGUCGCCAGUUCGUACUGUGAAGCAUCCUGUUAAGUCAGGCAACGAGCGAGACCCGUGCCCACUGUUACCAGCAUGUCCUCCGGGACGAUGGGUACUCUGUGGGGACCGCCGAUGUUAAAUCGGAGGAAGGUGCGGGCCACGGUAGGUCAGUAUGCCCCGAAUUUCCCGGGCUACACGCGGGCUACAAUGAAUGGGACAAUGGGUCCCUACCCUGAAAAGGGCUGGUAAUCUCCCAAACCCAUCCGUAGUUCGGAUCGAGGGCUGUAACUCGCCCUCGUGAAGCUGGAAUCCGUAGUAAUCGCGUUUCAAUAUAGCGCGGUGAAUACGUCCCUGCUCCUUGCACACACCGCCCGU
rnacentral:rRNA from 1 species